rnacentral:lncRNA from 10 species
ACCGCCCUAUAUAGCACAGGGUGGCCAUCCCUAGUGGGCUGCUAGAUGGAUCUUGCCCUGUGGGCACACUCCUGCCACGCCAGGCUAGGACGAAGGUCCCUCCAGGCCCCAGCAGACUCCCUGUGCGCCUGGCCUUGGAGUGCGUGUCCCGCGUGUGUCCUGUGCCGGUUCCCGCCUUGCCUCCUUACCGACGCGCCUCCCUUCUGGCCUCCAAUCCCCACGGCGGCACUGUGGCCGCAAACGGGUCCACCAGGUAACCUCGUGGUUUUUCUUUUCAAUGCACAAGUAAAAUGUCUCCCCACCGUCUCAUCAAUCUGAGGGACAGGAGUAAUCAACACAGAACUGUGCUGCAGGUAAGGUACAGCCAAUUAAUGACAACACUUGUUCCUGCAGAACAGAUCCAGCUUCAUGAUCUUUUAGAAGAGAGUUCUAAAAUCAAAUCCUUUACCUCCCAGUGUCACUGUCGCUCUGGCCCAUGCAACACCACCCCCCGACCGACAGGGAGGGCAGGAGCCACAGCCCGGGCAAUCUCUAACAGUCAGCGGAUACAGUAGGUGUGCUGCACCCUCACACCUCUUGCUCCUGCCAGCAUUGCUAAUGAAUCAAUCACGACCAUCCUUCCCUUAAGCCUGGAUGCAGUCCUGUAGCUCUCAACCCCACAAUCCAGG